rnacentral:rRNA from 1 species
AGUGAACGCUGGCGGUAGGCCUAACACAUGCAAGUCGAACGGCAGCACAGUAAGAGCUUGCUCUUACGGGUGGCGAGUGGCGGACGGGUGAGGAAUGCAUCGGAAUCUACUUUUUCGUGGGGGAUAACGUAGGGAAACUUACGCUAAUACCGCAUACGACCUACGGGUGAAAGCAGGGGAUCUUCGGAGCUUUCGCGAUUGAAUGAGCCGAUGUCGGAUUAGCUAGUUGGCGGGGUAAAGGCCCACCAAGGCGACGAUCCGUAGCUGGUCUGAGAGGAUGAUCAGCCACACUGGAACUGAGACACGGUCCAGACUCCUACGGGAGGCAGCAGUGGGGAAUAUUGGACAAUGGGCGCAAGCCUGAUCCAGCCAUACCGCGUGGGUGAAGAAGGCCUUCGGGUUGUAAAGCCCUUUUGUUGGGAAAGAAAAGCAGCAGGUUAAUACCCCGCUGUUCUGACGGUACCCAAAGAAUAAGCACCGGCUAACUUCGUG